GUUGGGAAUGGGACUGGAGAGGUUAUUAUCAAGGGUCGGUUUGCUUAGGAGCAGGGUCUAUUUAAGUCUGAGAUCCUAUUAGGAGAGGGUAGCGGUUGCCGUAAGGCGGGGUUAUGCAAGUCCGACCCAGAAGCAGUCCGUUUGGAACUUAGUCCCAGAGUUUGAGCUUUCGAGCGGAGUGGGCGGGGUCUCUACAACUUCAAGUCCUGGCGGCCCCCUGCGCGGAGCUGGCGGGGCCUUCCUAGUGGGCGGAACCGGCCACGGAACCUCAGAUGCGGCUGGCUGGAGCUAUACAAACGGGACCCAAAGUCGGUUGCUCAGCAACUCUGUACUAGGGGAGGGGCCUACAAGCUCAGUAGGCGAGAUUUCACAACGAACAGGUAGCUUUACCCAGCUCUAGGCUUAGUCUCAGUUCUCUGACGCCGGGUGAACUGCCCCUUUCUUGUCACUAAAUUUCAAUCCCGGCAUGGAGUUGGAGCCGUGGAAGGUAGAUGGGAGACCUGAAGGAAAACACAGACAGAGGGUGGCUCGUGCAUUGCGAUCCAGAGACCCCUAACGGACUUCUCCCUAGAGGUCCCAAACGUCUUGACCUCCACGAACCCCAUGGGAUCAGGGCAUUCGGGCACCAAUGCAUCCUCGCAAGGCUCAGGCGCCAAUGCAGCCCCUCUGGAACCUAUGCAUCAGGACCCCAAUCGAUCCCUCUUCGGGAGUUCUGGCGUUCAGCCCCCAAUCCACUUCCCGAAGACCCAGGCGUCUGGGCCCAGACCCCUGCCCUUCUCACCUGCGGACGGCCCCUCCCCGGGGGCGGGGCUCCGGGCCCCUCCCACUGCGGUGCUGCCUUCGGACUCCUAGGAGCUGCACCGCCCGGCGCGCGCCCUGCGACGAGAGGGCGGGGGAGGGAGCGCGCGCGAGCUGCUGGACCCAGCCUCAUUUCCAUCCCCUCCUCCCACGCCGAGCCGGUGAGGGCGUCAGUACGCAUGCGCAGUCGCGGCCCGCGGAGGCUGCUGCAGGGGAGACGAAAUGGAAGGAGUGGGUGGGUGCACAAGGCCAGCAAGUGGGUGAGCAAGCGCAGAGCUAUCAGCCUAAGUACUGGAGGAAAGAGUACCGCCGCUUGCGGGGCCUACGGUGGCUGACUGGAGUCAAUCACGUGCAGAAGCUAACACGGGGAAACCUCACUCAGAGAUCACCGAGACAGCGCUCAGCAUGUGUACUUUCCCUUCUUUUCGAGAAUUCCUCUGAGUCCCGUCUCCCGAAUCAGUUUCAAGGCCUUGGCAAGAAAAACCUAGCCAUUUCUUCGAGAGAGAAUGGGAGAUGGACUCCCGACUCAAAGCGAGCGGAAGCCCCUCAAGGCACGAAUGACCCUGGGGAGUUGCCAUCGUGGCGCAGCGGAAACAUCCGACUAGUAUACAUGAGGAUGCCUUUUGAUCCCUGGCCCUGCUCAGUGGGUAAGCGAUCCAGAGUUGCCAUGAGUUGUGGUGUAGGUCACAGACGCGGCUCGGAUCCCCUGUUUCUGUGGCUGUGAAUACGGCCGGCAGCUGUAGCUCCGAUUGGACCCCUGGGAACUUCCAUAUGCCUCGGGUGCGACCCUAAAGAGAAAAAAAAAAAGACACUAAUGACACCAAAACAUACAUUUUUUUUUCUUCCCACCGCUUGCUGGGAAGUGUACUGGGGUCUCUUGUUGGGUUUCCCUUCUCUAGGGAGAGAAGUUUGUGCUUCUCUCAGUGUGUCUCCCUCGCCCCGUCCCCCCUUUUUUUGUCCUUUUAGGGCCGCUCUCUCGGUUGAUGGAAGCUCUCAGGCUAGGGGUCCAAACCGAGAUGUAGCUGCCAGCCUACAGAGCGAGGCCAGGGAUCGAACCCGCGUCCUCCAUUCUCCUGGGUACUAGUCGGAUUUGGUGUCUCCCUGUUCUUUGUUUUCCUAGAUCUCACGGUUUUCUAUCUAUCUCCCCCAGCCCUUUUCCGUCCGUCCGCGUCCUCACCCCCAGGACCUCCCGGCCCCUUUAAGGCGGGCCCCGCCCCGUCCGCCCCGCCCCUCCGGGGUCAUCCCUGGGUGCACCCGGCUUCCGCGGGCGUUCAGACUCAGCUCUGUCUCCACCCAGCCGCGGGCGCGAUGGCCGCUCUGAGGGUCGCUGGGCGGCAGCUCAGCCAACACCGUGGGUCUGGAGCCCCCAUCCUCCUACGGCAGGUUGGUGAUGGCUGGACUCGGGAGCGGCGCAGGGGCGGAACUCCAGGGUCUUUAAAAUCAAGAGAGAUACCAGGGCUCCGAAGCUUGGAUCUUUGCGGAAAGGGGCGUAGGGCUAGACUCCGGCGUCCUUUAAAGGGGAGAGUUCUAGGACCCCCUGGGCUUGGGGCCGGACUUUUGCGUCCGUUCCAGAAGAGGGUGAUGGGGGCCCAGAUUUGGGGAUGGAUGGAAGUUGGGACUCAUUGGUUCAGACGGAGUAAAGUUUGGAGGUCCCAGACUCCUGACUCUGAGAAGGAGGGAGAAGGGGCUGGAGUUUCUGCUUCUGGAUCUUAGGAGGAGAAUCAAGUUGAAGCCUGGACUCGGGGUUGGUCCGCAGUGAGUGGGAGUCUGGUUCUGUGCCUUAACCUGCCCCCCUCCCCUUUCCCAGCUGUUUGAGCCCAAGAGCUGCACCUAUACUUACCUCCUGGGUGACAGAGAGUCUCGAGAGGCCAUUCUGAUAGACCCGGUUCUGGAGACGGCGCAUCGGGAUGCCCAGUUGGUCAAGGAGCUGGGACUGCGGCUCCUGUAUGCUGGUCAGUUUGGGGUCCGUACUUCUGGGCCUGAGGAGGCGGGGCGGUAGAGUGAAGAGGG
rnacentral:lncRNA from 1 species